rnacentral:rRNA from 1 species
GACUGGGUGACACAGCGAAAGCGUUAAGCAUUCCACCUGGGGAGUACGCCGGCAACGGUGAAACUCAAAGGAAUUGACGGGGGCCCGCACAAGCGGAGGAACAUGUGGUUUAAUUCGAUGAUACGCGAGGAACCUUACCCGGGCUCAAACGUCGGAGGACGUGCGGAGAAAUCCGCAUUUCCCUCGGGACUUCCGACGAGGUGCUGCAUGGUUGUCGUCAGCUCGUGCCGUGAGGUGUCGGCUUAAGUGCCAUAACGAGCGCAACCCCCAUCUACAGUUGCUAACAGGUGAAGCUGAGGACUCUGUGGAGACUGCCGGCGCAAGCUGAGAGGAAGGCGGGGAUGACGUCAAAUCAGCACGGCCCUUACGUCCGGGGCGACACACGUGUUACAAUGGCAGGUACAGCGGGAAGCCACUUGGCGACAAGGAGCGGAACCCGAAAACCUGUCUCAGUUCGGAUUGGAGUCUGCAACCCGACUCCAUGAAGCUGGAUUCGCUAGUAAUCGCGCAUCAGCCACGGCGCGGUGAAUACGUUCCCGGGCCUUGUACACACCGCCCGUCAAGCCAUGGAAGCCGGGAGUGCCUGAAGUGCGUGAGCGCAAGCAGCGCCCUAGGGUAAAACCGGUGACUGGGGCUAAGUCGUAACAAGGUAGCCGU